rnacentral:rRNA from 1 species
GUAGUCUGCAACUCGACUACAUGAAGCUGGAAUCGCUGGUAAUCGCAGAUCAGAAUGCUGCGGUGAAUACGUUCCCGGGUCUUGUACACACCGCCCGUCACACCAUGGGAGUCGGAAAUGCCCGAAGCCGGUGACCCAACCAAAAGGAGGGAGCCGUCGAAGGCAGUCUGAUAACUGGGGUGAAGUCGUAACAAGGUAUC